GUCAGAAGGAUGAGGCGGAAGGGCAGGGCCCUUCUAAGCUGCUAAGUGCCGUCCAUUGUCAUCUGAGAGCACAAAGGACCUGAGUGCGCCACCACUAAGGAAGAGGGUGUACAGAACUUGUGAACUCUACAUCCUUUUAGAAAGCAUCGCUUCACACCAGGAGCGAAAAAUGUGACAACAGUGUCCUAACCAAUCCUAACUAGGACCUACCUACUGUAAAAAACUGCUCCCACAAAAGGAGAAAACAAGCCAGAGCCCCACUCUGCACGUACACACGUGUCUGGGUCGAAUACCAUGGUCUAAAAACACAGCUCGCUCUAACCGGCUUUGUCUCCUGCAGGUGGCACAAGGUAAAGUUUAAAAUGGAUACCAAAGGCACGUAUCCUACCACGAUCAGGCUUUGAAUCAUUUACCCUGCAUAUUAAAGACCCAGAAAUAAAAUAAACACGGUUCCCAGGGAACAAAUUAACGCACAACCAGAGACUCCUCCGUGUGGCAUUUUCAAGCUCAGUUUCUGCGAACUGGCAAGUGCCAAUAUGACCGAGGGCUCUGGGACUCCACUGCAUUCACCUGGUGGCAC